AGAAAGGUUCUUCUAGGAACCACUGCGUAUUUUCUGUCAUGCCUUAG
rfam:Egretta garzetta contig17275, whole genome shotgun sequence.